GGUGAACGCUGGCGGUGGGCCUAACACAUGCAAGUCGAGCGGCAGCACGGUAAGCUCUCGCUCUUGCGGGUGGCGAGUGACGGGCGGGUGAGGAAUGCAUCGCAAACCACUUUUUCUGGGAUGAUUUCGGGAGGCCGGUGCUACUAAUACCUAAUAUGUUCUACCGCAUAGAUCAAGAGUGCUAGGCAGCUUUCCUGUCUCAUUUAGCUGGUUCCGUGUUGCAUUAGCUAGUUGGUAAGGUAACGGCUAACCAAGGCGACGAUGCGUAGCUGGUCUGAGAGGAUGAUCAGCCACACUGGAACUGAGACACGGUCCAGACUCCUACGGGAGGCAGCAGUGGGGAAUAUUGGACAAUGGGCGCAAGCCUGAUCGAGCCAUACCGCGUGGGUGAAGAAGGUCUUCGGGUUGUAAAACCCUUUUGUUGGGAAAGAAAAGCAGUGGGUGAAUCCCCCGCUGUCCUGACGGUACCCAAAGAAUAAGCACCGGCUAACUUCGUG
rnacentral:rRNA from 1 species